rnacentral:rRNA from 1 species
UACGUAGGGUGCGAGCGUUGUCCGGAAUUACUGGGCGUAAAGAGCUCGUAGGUGGUUUGUCGCGUUGUCCGUGAAAACUCACAGCUCAACUGUGGGCGUGCGGGCGGAUACGGGCAGACUGGAGUACUGCAGGGGAGACUGGAAUUCCUGGUGUAGCGGUGGAAUGCGCAGAUAUCAGGAGGAACACCGGUGGCGAAGGCAGCUCGCUGGAACGGUACUGACGCUGAGGCGCGAAAGCUAGGGGAGCGAACAGG